CUCCCGCAUUCCUCUCAGUGUCCCCCAAUUCGGGAUGUAAACGCCGUUUUCACAGUUAACCGUUUAAACGAUUAAAAAUAUUUCAUUUAAACGAUUAACCGAUUAAGAGCUGGGGCCAAUCCCGCCAGCACAGCUGGGGCCGGGGCUGCGGCCGGCCGGUCCGAGGGCUACCGGUUAAGGCGGUUCACCGGUAAGACUAAUGGUUAACGGGUUAACAUUUUACAUCCCAAUAGACCCAGUCCCAUCACCAGCCCCCUCAGCAUCCUUCAGUCCCACCAUCUUCCCCAGGGCCGGUGUCUUCCAUUCCCAGCAUCAGCCUGGCAGCGUCCCGCCGUCCCAGGGCUCCCCUCCUUUCCAGGGGCGGCAGAUCCUGUGACAUUCAUUCCCACUCAGAUAGUCAUCUUCUGCUGCAAUCUCUGCCAACAGUCUAGAAAUGCCGUUAACAUUCAUGCUACAGCUGCAUGUGUUUCAAUGAUCACAGGAUCUUCUCCUUCCCAGAGGCUAG